rnacentral:tRNA from 1 species
CAUUAGAUGACUGAAAGUAAGUGCUGGUCUCUUAAACCAUAUUAUAGUAGUUUAACAGCUACUUCUAAUGA